AACGAACGCUGGCGGCAGGCCUAACACAUGCAAGUCGAGCGCGCCUUCGGGUGAGCGGCGGACGGGUGAGUAACGCGUGGGAAUAUGCCCUUCUCUACGGAAUAGUCCUGGGAAACUGGGGGUAAUACCGUAUACGCCCUUUGGGGGAAAGAUUUAUCGGGGAAGGAUUAGCCCGCGUUGGAUUAGGUAGUUGGUGGGGUAAUGGCCUACCAAGCCGACGAUCCAUAGCUGGUUUGAGAGGAUGAUCAGCCACACUGGGACUGAGACACGGCCCAGACUCCUACGGGAGGCAGCAGUGGGGAAUCUUAGACAAUGGGGGCAACCCUGAUCUAGCCAUGCCGCGUGAGUGAUGAAGGCCUUAGGGUUGUAAAGCUCUUUCAGCUGGGAAGAUAAUGGCGGUACCAGCAGAAGAAGCCCCGGCUAACUCCGUG
rnacentral:rRNA from 1 species